UGGGGAAUAUUGCACAAUGGGCGAAAGCCUGACCCAGCAACGCCGCGUGUGGGAUGAAGGCCCUCGGGUCGUAAACCACUGUCAGGAGGAAAGAAAAGUCGGCCGGAUAAUACUCGGUCGACCUGACGGUACCUCCAAAGGAAGCACCGGCUAACUCCGUGCCAGCAGCCGCGGUAAUACGGAGGGUGCAAGCGUUGUUCGGAAUUACUGGGCGUAAAGCGCGUGUAGGCGGCUCUUCAAGUCAGGCGUGAAAGCCCCAGGCUCAACCUGGGAAAUGCGUUUGAUACUGUCGAGCUAGAGUGUGGAAGGGGCGAUUGGAAUUCCGUGUGUAGCGGUGAAAUGCGUAGAUAUACGGAGGAACACCAGAGGCGAAGGCGGAUCGCUGGGCCAACACUGACGCUGAGACGCGAAAGCUAGGGUAGCAAACAGGAUUAGAUACCCCCGUAGUCCCUGAGCGGGCUGGCAAGGCGCAU
rnacentral:rRNA from 1 species